GAAAAAAACAGACAAAUUAUUUAGUUUUUUAACAUGUUUUCUUACUGUUAUAUACUUUUUACAAUACUUUACUUUGAGUAUAAACACCUUUUUGUGGCAUCACCAAAAAAAGAAGAAUACUGUACAUAAUCAACAUAACUGAACAAGUAAAUAUCUAAUCAAAGAUGACAUCUUUGAGAAUCUAACACAGAAUUCGGAGUCAACCAUGAGUUUUUGAUCAUCUUUACUACAAAAAAAAAAAUCAAGUCGAUACCGCAAAAGUAUUGCAAGUUUAAUUUCCAGCCCUAUAGUGUUUUACCUUAGUUUGUUUAAAUAACAUUUGUCUAAUUGAUGAUUAGCACCAAUCAUAAAUUCAUAAUCUGAAAUGAAGAAAUGAAGACGUUAGCUAGCUAACGUUAGCUCUCGUGCAUCAGCCAGACAUCAUCUCAGUACAGAUCACACACUAACGUGAUGGCAAAUACCUGUAUUAUAAAUCUCUGGAAGGCCACGGACAGUUUGUGAAGCACCGGGGGCAAAAUGUGCAAAUCUACAAGCUGCUGUCAAGACAGCACACACAGUUACCUCAGUAAAGUUGCCACUCACACUCCAUCAGAAGCAAGCAGCGUUGCUGUGACUCCUGUUGCGAGGACAUUGUCCAUGGAAGCUGACUGGAUCUCUGUUGCCACGGUGCCGAUGCUGACGAUGUUCACCUGCACAGAAGAAGGACAAAGAUUUAUAAAAUGAAACUGAGUUUUAUAAGUCAAGCUUGUAGAGCCAGCUGUUUGUAGAAAUAUGGAGUAAGGUGAGAGGAGGAUAGUGACGAAGUUUGCUCCAUCUCGCC